CCUACGGGUGGCUGCAGUGAGGAAUAUUGGUCAAUGGGCGCGAGCCUGAACCAGCCAAGUAGCGUGAAGGAUGCCUGCCCUACGGGUUGUAAACUUCUUUUAUAAGGGAAUAAAGUGAGGCACGUGUGCCUUUUUGUAUGUUUUUUAUGAAUAAGGAUCGGCUAACUCCGUGCCAGCAGCCGCGGUUAUACGGGGGAUCCGAGCGUUAUCCGGAUUUUGUGGGUUUAAAGGGAGCGUAGAUGGGUUGUUAAGUCAGUUGUGAAAGUUUGCGGCUCAACCGUAAAAUUGCAAUUGAUACUGGCAGCCUUGAGUACAGUUGGGGUAGGCGGAAUUCGUGGUGUAGCGGUGAAAUGCUUAGAUAUCACGAAGAACUCCGAUUGCGAAGGCAGCCUACUAAGCUGCCACUGACGUUGAUGCUCGAAAGUGUGGGUAUCAAACAGGAUUAGAUACCCUGGUAGUC
rnacentral:rRNA from 1 species